AGUGAACGCUGGCGGUAUGCCUAGCACAUGCAAGUCGAACGGCAGCACAGUAAGAGCUUGCUCUUACGGGUGGCGAGUGGCGGACGGGUGAGGAAUGCAUCGGAAUCUACUUUUUCGUGGGGGAUAACGAAGGGAAACUUACGCUAAUACCGCAUACGACCUACGGGUGAAAGCAGGAGAUCUUCGGACCUUGCGCGAUUGAAUGAGCCGAUGUCGGAUUAGCUAGUUGGCGGGGUAAAGGCCCACCAAGGCGACGAUGCGUAGCUGGUCUGAGAGGAUGAUCAGCCACACUGGAACUGAGACACGGUCCAGACUCCUACGGGAGGCAGCAGUGGGGAAUAUUGGACAAUGGGCGCAAGCCUGAUCCAGCCAUACCGCGUGGGUGAAGAAGGCCUUCGGGUCGUAAAGCCCUUUUGUUGGGAAAGAAAAGCAGCAGGUUAAAACACGGCUGUUCUGACGGUACCCAAAGAAUAAGCACCGGCUAACUUCGUG
rnacentral:rRNA from 1 species